rnacentral:lncRNA from 1 species
GAUCAAGAUGAUAAGAUUAGUUUGACCUACUCUGUUCUUUGUUUGAGGCGAAGGCUGUUGAUGUUGAGGAUUUUGGGAAUGGAUUUGAUUGAAUUGAUUUCACACACACACUACAAGAAUCGAAAGAGAGAUGGGAUUGAUUAUUGAAUUAAAGUUAGAACUUUGCCAAUAUUUGAAAUUUUCUUUGAGCUAUAUAAUUUAUGCAAUCUAUGAG